UACGAAGGGGGCUAGCGUUGCUCGGAAUCACUGGGCGUAAAGCGCACGUAGGCGGCUUUCUAAGUCAGGGGUGAAAUCCUGGAGCUCAACUCCAGAACUGCCUUUGAUACUGGGAAGCUCGAGUCCGGAAGAGGUGAGUGGAACUCCGAGUGUAGAGGUGAAAUUCGUAGAUAUUCGGAAGAACACCAGUGGCGAAGGCGGCUCACUGGUCCGGUACUGACGCUGAGGUGCGAAGGCGUGGGGAGCAAACAGG
rnacentral:rRNA from 1 species